rnacentral:rRNA from 1 species
AGCGAACGCUGGCGGCAGGCCUAACACAUGCAAGUCGAACGAAGUCUUCGGACUUAGUGGCGGACGGGUGAGUAACACGUGGGAACGUACCUUUUGGUUCGGAACAACUCAGGGAAACUUGAGCUAAUACCGGAUGAGCCCUUAGGGGGAAAGAUUUAUCGCCGAAAGAGCGGCCCGCGUUAGAUUAGCUAGUUGGUGAGGUAAAGGCUCACCAAGGCUACGAUCUAUAGCUGGUCUGAGAGGAUGAUCAGCCACACUGGGACUGAGACACGGCCCAGACUCCUACGGGAGGCAGCAGUGGGGAAUCUUGCGCAAUGGGCGAAAGCCUGACGCAGCCAUGCCGCGUGAAUGAUGAAGGUCUUAGGAUUGUAAAAUUCUUUUACCAGGGACGAUAAUGACGGUACCUGGAGAAAAAGCCCCGGCUAACUUCGUGCCAGCCGCCGCCGUAA